rnacentral:rRNA from 1 species
GACGAACGCUGGCGGCGUGCCUAAUACAUGCAAGUUGAGCGAUGAAGAUUGGUGCUUGCACCAAUUUGAAGAGCAGCGAACGGGUGAGUAACGCGUGGGGAAUCUGCCUUUGAGCGGGGGACAACAUUUGGAAACGAAUGCUAAUACCGCAUAAUAACUUUAAACAUAAGUUUUAAGUUUGAAAGAUGCAAUUGCAUCACUCAAAGAUGAUCCCGCGUUGUAUUAGCUAGUUGGUGAGGUAAAGGCUCACCAAGGCGAUGAUACAUAGCCGACCUGAGAGGGUGAUCGGCCACAUUGGGGCUGAGACACGGCCCAAACUCCUACGGGAGGCAGCAGUAGGGAAUCUUCGGCAAUGGACGAAAGUCUGACCGAGCAACGCCGCGUGAGUGAAGAAGGUUUUCGGAUCGUAAAACUCUGUUGGUAGAGAAGAACGUUGGUGAGAGUGGAAAGCUCAUCAAGUGACGGUAACUACCCAGAAAGGGACGGCUAACUACGUG